GCCCAAAAUUUUAGCUAACUAAAUAUACUAAACCCCAUACUACUUAAACCAAAACAUUUAUUCAGGCUAGUAAAUGAGAUUAAACACCACUUUAGCCUUCUAAGUACCGCAAGGGAACAAUGAAAGAAUAAUGAAAAACUUUAAGCAAAAUAUAGCAAAGAUUUAACCCUGUACCUUUUGCAUCAUGGUUUAGCAAAACCCCCUCAGACAAAGAGAACCUUAAGUCUGCCCUCCCGAAACCAAACGAGCUAUUUUUAAGCAGCUUAAAAACUUUUAGAGCACACUCGUCCCUGUCGCAAAAGGGUGAGAAGACUUAAAAAUAGAGGCAAAAAGCCAACCGAGCUUGGUGAUAGCUGGCUACUCAACAAGUGAAUUUAAGUUCUACUUUAGGUAAAUUUAAGCCUCCUACACAAACUUUUUUUAUUACCUAAAGGAAAUCAAUAGGGGUACAACCCAAUUGAACCGGAAUACAGCCCGAAUUGAGAGAAUUUAAAAAUUUUUCCUCUGUAGGCCUCAAAGCAGCCAUCAAAAACUGCGUUACAGCACAAAACUAAAACAAUUUUAAUAAUCCAACCCCUCUCCUAAUUUAUCCUGAGUUAAUCUAUACAAUUAUAGAAGCACUUAUGCUAAAAUUAGUAAUAAGAAACACUUAUUUCUCUAUGCACUUCCUUAUAUCAGAAUAGAAAAACUACUGAUGAUUAACAAAUAUAUCGGCCUCCAACCACCUAGCCAAAAUGCCAUCUAAAGCUUGUUACCCCAACACAGGUGUGCAACAAAAGAAAGACAAAAAGCCGCAAAAGGAACUCGGCAAAUAAUAGUCCCAACUGUUUACCAAAAACAUAGCCUUUAGCCCAACAAGUAUUAAAGGUCCCGCCUGCCCAGUGACUCUUUAAACGGCCGCGGUAUCCUAACCGUGCAAAGGUAGCAUAAUCACUUGUCCCUUAAAUAGGGACUGGAAUGAACGGCUAAAUGAGGACUAAACUGUCUCUUGCGAGCUAGUCAAUGAAAUUGAUUUUCCAGUACAAAAGCUGGAAUAGACCCAUAAGACGAAAAGACCCUGUGGAGCUUAAAAACCAGAUUCAUUAAGAAUGUUUCCUCGGAUUUUCAGUUGGGGCGACUUCGGAGUACAGAAAAACCUCCGAAAAAUGUAAACUUGUAUUAAGAUCAACACACCAAAAAUAACACAUAGACCCAGCAAUUUUUACAAAUAUGUCUGACCAAUGAACCAAGUUACCCCAGGGAUAACAGCGCCAUCCCCUUUUAGAGUCCCUAUCGACAAGGGGGUUUACGACCUCGAUGUUGGAUCAGGACACCCCAAUGGUGCAGCCGCCAUUAAAGGUUCGUUUGUUCAACGAUUAAUAGUCCUACGUGAUCUGAGUUCAGACCGGAGAAAUCCAGGUCGGUUUCUAUCUAUGUAGUACUGUCCUCAGUACGAAAGGACCAAGAUAGUGGGACCAAUACCAAAAGAACGUCCCAAUCAAAGCUACUGAACAUUACUAAAGUAGUUAAUAUACUAUCUUACCAAGCCAAAAUUAGACUUU
rnacentral:rRNA from 1 species